GGAAGGAAAUCCAUAUUCAUCAAACAGCCGCAUCAGAUCACCGAACUGUCCAUGAAGAUCACCAAACACUUUGACAGGAGCUUUCAAUUGAAGAACCGUAGGCUCAUGCAUGAAGAUCUGCUCAGCUGCAUAACAAAGCUCACCCACUUCAUAUGAAUCAAGAAAGAACUUUCUAUUAACAGGUGCUUUCCAAUUUCUCGGCCUAAGCAAAGUGGAUAUGAUCUUUUUAUGCAAUCCUUGAGGUGAUUUCUGCCUUGCGAACUUUUUUGUUGGAUUUGAAAUAUCAUUAUAUGAAGGAACCAUUCGUCUACUCUCAUUUUCAAAUUGAUCCAAUGACAAUUGCCUCACCAUUCCCCCCAGGUUCCCAACAGUUUCUUUUGCAACUACAACAGCUCUAGGAUGGAGGCGGACAGCUGACUCAUUGUCGCUUCCCUCAGAAGCGGUGUCUGGAACUUGAGAGCUCUCGUCUGAGACUGAAGUUACUUCAGGAAUGGCAGAUGCAGCCUGCGCUAAUUGCCAGACAGCAUUGGCAGCCUCAGCUUCAGCAGCAAAAUCCUUGGUCAAUUUUUCCAUAGAAUCUUUAUCCAUGCUCAACCCACCAGAUGGGUGGAUCUCAGGUUUUCCAUCAGGAUCUAUAAAUAAAUUUGAAUUGUUUGACAUUGGGAUGCCAAUGGCUCUCUCAGACGCUAAGACUGGGGAAUUGAUGUCAGAAUGCAAUGGAGAAUUUUCUGCAACCAGACAUUCAUCCAAAAGUGUAUCUCCUCUAAGACCACCAUAGAUAUAUAUCCGAACACCAACAGAUGCAGCUGCAUGGCGACAGCGACGCAUAAGCUCCAAAGAAGGAUCUUGUUCAUUGUUGCCCUUGCUAUUACGUGAAGCAGUUACCAGCCCGUGUCUAUCUAACCAAACUCCAGCAGCAGUGUCCAACACUGCAAUAGCUGCUUCACCUUCUACUCCACGUCCACCUCUAAGAGCACCCCCUGUAACGUGUAAUCUUGCACCAACAAAUACCGCAGCAUGUUGAUACCUUGAUGAUGGUGCCACUCCUGGUGCAAGAGUCCACUCCCACUGCCCAUUCCUAUGCAUAAGCAGCCCAUAAGCAUCUGCUAAGGGUGUGCCUGAAGCAUCUCUCCCCCCACAAAGCAAAAACAUGCCAUCAGUCCGAGCACUAGCUGUUGCAUACAUUCUA
rnacentral:misc_RNA from 1 species